UGACGUCAGCGCGCAGCGUCAUGCCGGGAGGGACGCAUGAAAGUUUGUCAAGCAGCAACCACCCAAACUGCAUCCUCUGUACCAAAAGCCAUCUAAGGAAGCCCAGCAGAUGGUCUAGCUGCUGUGAAACAAAGAGUUGCUUUCAUUCUUAAAUUUGUUUCCUCAGCUCUUUUCAUUUGGUAACUCUGUAAUAGAACAUUUGACCUUUACAAAGAUCAAAAUGUAAAUAAUGUUCUUUUCAUGUUGUUCUUUAGCAACCAUUUAAAAAGUCAAAUAACAUUAAAGUCCUUUUUUACUUUUAAAAUGUUAUUGCUGCCAAGAUCUCUCUCCCCCUCUGCCUUGGAGUCCUUCUGUGAUUUAUCACAAUAUGCAUUAGACCUGAACAGGCUUGCCAGCAUCAGGUGAUCAGAACUAUAAAGCCCAACCCUCUGUGGUUUAACUUGGAAAUAAGUCCCAGCGAAAUCAAUUAAUCUAGGCUGUAGCCUUGCAGCAGAAGGCCCACUGGGUUCAGUGAUGCUUAUAUCUAGAUAUGUAUAGGAUUGCAACCUUUUUCAAGGGAAAAGGGAGUUAGGGGGCAAUCCUAUACAUUCUUACCUUAAGCCUUCUUGAACUCAAUGGGUCUUUCUGCUAGGUAAACAGGAAUAGGACUGCACUGAUGGAAGCAAUAAUAUGCUUUUACUUUGUCUUAAACUCAGAAGAAAACAGGUUCAGAUUCAAGACCCAUUAAUAAAAACAUGCAUAGGAUUGGACUAAUUUACAAAAACAAACUUUGAAAAGGUUGUGGUUAAACUUACAUAAUGAUAUAGUAUGCACAGUAUGUCACAUUAAAAAAACCCAAAUGGUUUAAUACAUCUAGAUUUUACUCUACAGUAAGUUGAAAACUUGCCAUUGCAUGAAAUGUGAAAAGCCAUUUCUUAGAACUUUAUAUUGUUUCCAAUAAUAUACUUAUUACUGAAAUACCAAUAAGCAUUUCUCAAACUAUCUUAUGGCUUCAUUUUUGUGUUUUUUUGUAUAAUUAUGGUAUUGGUUUUCACUUUGAAACAUCUACCUAUUAUGAAAAUUGAACUAAUGCUCAGAAAAAGUGUUGCCGAUUUUAAUUGAGCAACCACCCUGCUGUGAAAAACCUCGCCUGAUUUCUUAAGAUCAUGUUGCUGUGAAAGGAAUGGGAGCAGAGCAGCUUUUCAGAGCUCAUUUUGCAAAUCUAGCUCAGAUAGCUAAAGGUCUUGUGCUUAAAUUCUGCUUGUGGUUUCCCAGCAGCUUCUGGUUGGCCACUAUGAGAACAGGAUGCUGGACUAGAUGGGCCAUUGGCUUCAUUCAGCAGGCUCUUAUGGAACUACAUCCACAAAAGACUUUUUUAGCAUGGAAGCAUGCCUGGAUCAUGAUCAAUAAUUCUAUUUUUCUUCCCAAGAUAUAUAUUUAUGAGGCCCAUCGAUAUUUCAGUUAUGCUUCUACAGUGGAGUAUGCAUAGCUCAGUUCCUUGUAGCAGUUCUCUGAAACACAUCAAUGCACUUCAAAUAAAUGAAAAUGGUAAGCAGAAAUGUUUGUAGGAUCCAAGCCAAGGUGUAGUGCAAAUAGCAGAAGAGCAUGGGCCAUGAAAAAAACAUUUUUUACAAAGACUGCAAUAAAGUCAGUGUUUUUCUUAUCUGCCUCGGGAAUUUAAAACAAGCUGUAUUGGAUCAGACCAAAGGGCUAUCUAGUUCUCAGAUGCCUAUGGGAUGCACACAAGCAUGGCAUGAGUGCAACAGCCCUCUCCCCACUCUCAUGUUGCCCAGCAAAUAUAAUUGUGGACAAAAUGUUAAGUAUAGAAAAUUUAAUCAUCCUAGCUUAUCUGGCUACAGUUCUGAAUUUUUGUAUAUCAUCAUCCACUAAAGAAUGACAUUUUAAAACACUGGAGAAGGCACCUGGGAGACUGUUUGGAUGAUGAUUAAAAUGUAUCUGCCAUUGAUAAGAAACAGCUAUAUGCAUAAGAUGAUAGCUGUAGAUGUAUGAAGUCUGUGCUAAUACUUAACUUCUGAUUUACAAUACAGGAAAUGACUUUGGUAUAAUAUACCCAGCCAAGUUAUUGUAUUUCAUAAUAUUUUUCAGAGUGAAUUUUAGUUUUGGGAGUCCUGUUGACAUCGUUCACAUUUAUUUACAGUUUGCCAACCUGCCGAAUAAUGUAUUGGCUGCAACCGCUUUGUGUUAUUUCAAUUCAACAUUAUGUACAGCAAACAUUUUCUUUGGCAGCGCCAUCUUAGUCACCUCUGCUCCAAGACCAUCUGCUUUGGAAGCAGAAAUAUGAUCCUGCCUUGACAACAGCGAGACAGCUUCUGGCAUCGAAACAUCCUUCCUCUGCAAUUGUUUUGACAGAUUCCUGACUUCAGACAGUACAUAAUGCAUGAUGCCUACAUUAUUAGAGAUUUCACUGGUGUAAAGACAUUUCUGAAAACAGUGUAUUUGAUUUUUUUCUAUGGUUCCAUGUAGGCAAUGGUAAAAUGUCUACAACAGUCCUGUAGAACUUGAGACCCCUCAAGGCAACCAGACCCCACUAGUGGGGACUACUAGUGAUUGACAGUUCUUCUGCAUUUGUAGUCCCAGACCUGCAACAGAAAUAGCUUUACAGUACUGAGCCUUCGGUAAGUCACCAUUCAUAGCUCAUAGAUGAUAUAUGGUUUCAUAGAAUCAAAUACCGGUAAUUGUAGAGUUGGAAGUAGUGGUGCAGCGUGGCAGGGUGGGCUCACAGGGGCAGUUGCCCUGGGUGCAAAAUUGUUAGGGAUACAAAAUUUUAACAUCUGAUGCUGCCUCAAUACAACUGCGCGCUUCUGUUGAUGGGCUUUGUUGAAAACGGCUUCUUCAUGAGAACCAGGAAGUGACCUCUCCAGACAACGGAAUGACUCUUCUUUUCUUAUCUCUGCAACUGCAAUCUCCUGGGUGAUCAAAUACCAUUACACAGUUGAAUGCACAUGCAUAUUCCGUCAGUUUUAUUGUCUUACUCUUUUUGUGAAACAUUUUAUAAUCAAGCAGUAUAUAAAAGUGGAGAAAUAAUAAUAAAUAUAAUGCAAACAUUAUUAAAUUUUUAUUUACAUUUCAAGCCUAUUCCACCCCCAAUGUUCAGGAUGGGCUAAAACAUAUAGAAAUAUAUACAUUAAGCUAUUAAAAAGAUGAAAAAAUAGGCAAUACAAUAUAUCCACGAUCUUUUUAGCAGUGGUCCAUCAGUUGUGGAAUCUUGUUACUUGGGAGGUGUUCAUAGUCUUCUCAUUGUUCUUUCUUCAACCUUAAGAACAUUUUUCCCCUGCCAUGUAUUGUAAUGAAGAUUGCACUGGUUCAAUAUAUUAGUUCCUACUGUUUUUAACUAUUGACUUGUUUUUAACAGUUUUGACUAGAUUAAAGUUUUGAGAGAGUUCCUUUUAAAAGGUG